AGCGAACGCUGGCGGCAGGCUUAACACAUGCAAGUCGAGCGGGCGUAGCAAUACGUCAGCGGCAGACGGGUGAGUAACGCGUGGGAACGUACCUUUUGGUUCGGAACAACACAGGGAAACUUGUGCUAAUACCGGAUAAGCCCUUACGGGGAAAGAUUUAUCGCCGAAAGAUCGGCCCGCGUCUGAUUAGCUAGUUGGUAGGGUAAUGGCCUAUCAAGGCGACGAUCAGUAGCUGGUCUGAGAGGAUGAUCAGCCACAUCGGGACUGAGACACGGCCCAAACUCCUACGGGAGGCAGCAGUGGGGAAUAUUGGACAAUGGGGGCAACCCUGAUCCAGCCAUGCCGCGUGAGUGAUGAAGGCCCUAGGGUUGUAAAGCUCUUUUGUGCGGGAAGAUAAUGACGGUACCGCAAGAAUAAGCCCCGGCUAACUUCGCGCCAGCCGCCGCCGUAA
rnacentral:rRNA from 1 species